GCUGGGUUUAGAACGUCGUGAGACAGUUCGGUCUCUAUCCGCCGUGGGCACAAGAGAUUUGAGGGAAUCUGCAUCUAGUACGAGAGGACCGAUGUGGACGAACCUCUGGUGCACCAGUUGUCUCAUCAGAGGCAUCGCUGGGUAGCUAUGUUCGGACAGGAUAAGCGCUGAAAGCAUAUAAGUGCGAAGCCUAUCCCAAGAUGAGAUCUCUCUACCGUUAAGGUAAUAAGGCUCGUUGGAGACUACAACGUUGAUAGGCCACAGGUGUAAGUUCAGUAAUGAAUUCAGCCGAGUGGUACUAAUAUGCCGAAUGGCUUUAUCAAUCUU
rnacentral:rRNA from 1 species